AGAGUUUGAUCAUGGCUCAGGAUGAACGCUGGCGGCGUGCCUAAUACAUGCAAGUCGAGCGAACUGAUUAGAAGCUUGCUUCUAUGACGUUAGCGGCGGACGGGUGAGUAACACGUGGGCAACCUGCCUGUAAGACUGGGAUAACUUCGGGAAACCGAAGCUAAUACCGGAUAGGAUCUUCUCCUUCAUGGGAGAUGAUUGAAAGAUGGUUUCGGCUAUCACUUACAGAUGGGCCCGCGGUGCAUUAGCUAGUUGGUGAGGUAACGGCUCACCAAGGCAACGAUGCAUAGCCGACCUGAGAGGGUGAUCGGCCACACUGGGACUGAGACACGGCCCAGACUCCUACGGGAGGCAGCAGUAGGGAAUCUUCCGCAAUGGACGAAAGUCUGACGGAGCAACGCCGCGUGAGUGAUGAAGGCUUUCGGGUCGUAAAACUCUGUUGUUAGGGAAGAACAAGUACAAGAGUAACUGCUUGUACCUUGACGGUACCUAACCAGAAAGCCACGGCUAACUACGUGCCAGCAGCCGCGGUAAUACGUAGGUGGCAAGCGUUAUCCGGAAUUAUUGGGCGUAAAAGCGCGCGCAGGCGGUUUCUUAAGUCUGAUGUGAAAGCCCACGGCUCAACCGUGGAGGGUCAUUGGAAACUGGGGAACUUGAGUGCGAAACA
rnacentral:rRNA from 1 species